rnacentral:lncRNA from 1 species
ACGAAUUUCCGAUAUCAUAAAAGAUUCACAAUACGAAGGGAACUUCCUCUGCUUAAUUGAGCCCCUAAAUGAAUGUGAAUAGUUAAAAAUUUUAUUCAAAAUUGUCGAAAGCAAAGUUUCAUAUGUGUUCUCGUACGAAUAUAUACUGACUAACAGACAGACGGCCACACGAAAAAAUAAAUAAAACUAUACUGAAACCAAGGAUUUGUAUAGUAAGACUUACUAUACAAAUCCUUG